rnacentral:rRNA from 1 species
AGGAUUAACGCUGGCGGCGUGCCUGACACAUGCAAGUCGAACGAGGCCGCAAGGCCGAGUGGCGGACGGGUGAGUAACACGUGACCAACCAACCUCGAAGUUGGGAAUAGCUCUGCGAAAGUAGGGGUAAUACCGAAUGUGGCCCAGGGCGGGCAUCCGCCUUGGUCUAAAGAUUCAUCGCUUCGAGACGGGGUCGCGGCCUAUUAGCUUGUUGGUGAGGUAACGGCUCACCAAGGCGAUGAUGGGUAGCUGGUCUGAGAGGACGACCAGCCACACUGGGACUGAGACACGGCCCAGACUCCUACGGGAGGCAGCAGUGAGGAAUCUUGCGCAAUGGGCGAAAGCCUGACGCAGCGACGCCGCGUGGGGGAUGAAGCUUUCGGAGUGUAAACCCUUCGACCCGGACGAAAGCCCGCAAGGGCCUGGACGGUACGGGUAUAAGAAGCCCCGGCUAACUACGCGCCAGCAGCCGC